UACGUAGGGUGCAAGCGUUGUCCGGAAUUAUUGGGCGUAAAGAGCUCGUAGGCGGUUUGUCGCGUCGGCUGUGAAAACCUGAGGCUCAACCUCGGGCCUGCAGUCGAUACGGGCAAACUAGAGUUCGGUAGGGGAGACUGGAAUUCCUGGUGUAGCGGUGGAAUGCGCAGAUAUCAGGAGGAACACCGGUGGCGAAGGCGGGUCUCUGGGCCGAUACUGACGCUGAGGAGCGAAAGCGUGGGGAGCGAACAGG
rnacentral:rRNA from 1 species